ACGACUCUCGGCAACGGAUAUCUCGGCUCACGCAUCGAUGAAGAACGUAGCAAAAUGCGAUACUUGGUGUGAAUUGCAGAAUCCCGUGAACCAUCGAGUUUUUGAACGCAAGUUGCGCCCGAAGCCAUUUGGUUGAGGGCACGUCUGCCUGGGCGUCACCC
rnacentral:rRNA from 1 species